rnacentral:lncRNA from 1 species
UGUUUGUUGGCUCCCUACAAACAUGUCAUUCAAGUGGCUAAUCUUACAACAGCACAAAUUCAUCUAACCAGAAAGAGAAGAGGAGGCUCCAAAGGCACUUGACUACUGAGCAUCACCCUGGACGUGUACAAGUCUGCGUCCUUAUUGUUUUCUUCAUUGGGCCGAACUUUCUGGUCCUCAUCCAACAGCUCUUCUAUCACGUGUUCGAAAGUGUCAGCCAACGAUGUCAAGCCUCUUGAACCUGCCUUGGGCCCAUUCACGCUCUCCAGAGUCCCAUGGGUCCGCACACCUGGAGAUACUCUAUUAUAGCAAAGAAGAAAGAUAAUUUCAUUGAGCCAUCCUGUUUUACAGAAUCCCUUCAAAGCCUGGUGGUCUGACACCCUAUGCUACGUGACUCGUGACCCAUCCAUUUGUCAUGUUGUUUGGGAAUGUGGCUAAGGGGCUGAGAUGUGACUUGAAAAGAAAGGUAGAACCAGAUCAUCUCAAAUUUAUUAUCAAGGAAUAGUUCAGACAACGACUUCCGACCACAGAGACAGCAGAACAGAUGGUCCGACAUGGAUAGAGCAUCAGACACUCACAGACUGUGCCAACAAGAGCCAUCGAGUCAAAACCGCCAAAGGAAGGAGGGUCAUGGAAUGGGUUCUCUCACACCAAACUGAUGCCCAGAGGCCCUUGGCAUGAAUAACAAAGGCAACCAGACCCACAAGCCAUACUGAGUGGAUACAAAACCUAUACCUAGGCUGACAUCCCAAAUGUGUGUGGCAAGUUAGAUGAUGAUGGCACAAAAGACAGAACACCUUGCUUCUGGCCAUUGUCAGCUCUUGGAAGAGAGCACACUUUUAGAGGAGUAGCUGCAAGGAGCCUGAGAACAAAACUAGAAAUGUCUGUUAUGAAAGCCUUCGCAGGUAUUAUUAACAAAAGAAAAUGUGUAUUUGUCAAUGGUGUUUCAGCUAGAUUUUGGCAGUCCAUUCUUAUGCCCAGGAAUGACCUCUUGUGUAGACUGGAUACAGUCAUCAAUGCAACUGUCCAGGUGCAACUCUUCUAUAAAGGGGAAGAGGAGUGACUUUCCCCUGUACAGUGGCCCUGUCAAAAUUCUAUAAAAAAUAUUGUCCAUUUAAAUUAAAUAACCACUGUGCCUGGCUCCAUUUACCACACUUUUCUAUGCAGUGGAACUGAAGGGGAUUUUUUUUUUUUGCUGUCCUCAGAGAAAAAUAAGACUAAGAAUCAACCUUUCUAAUGAGAAUG